UACGAAGGGUGCAAGCGUUACUCGGAAUUACUGGGCGUAAAGCGUGUGUAGGCGGUCUCAUAAGUCGGAUGUGAAAGCCCCGGGCUCAACCCGGGAAGUGCACUCGAAACUGCGAGGCUAGAGUAUCGGAGAGGUUGGUGGAAUUCUCGGUGUAGAGGUGAAAUGCGUAGAUAUCUGGAGGAACACCGGUGGCGAAGGCGGCAUCCUGGACCAACACUGACGCUGAGGAGCGAAAGCCAGGGGAGCAAACGGG
rnacentral:rRNA from 1 species